CAUCUUUUACCUUCCUAGAUCCUUAAUUUAUGCUUAUAAUCACUAGAAUCAAAGUGGAGAAGAUGAGUAUGAUAAUAAAUUUCUUGAAAUGGGUUUAGCCUUCCAAAAUGGAAAUUGAUGGUGAAAUUGACUAGUAUAACCAAAUAAUUUGAUGAAUUCAUUAUUGUUAAGCUUAUUUCUUUCAUUAUUAGUGAUUAAUUUGAGGACUAAAGAAUUAAGGCUCAUACUCAAAUUUGGGGGUUUUGCUUUAAAUCCGAAUUAGGCUUAAUCUUGAGUUGUUUUCGCAAUUAAAUAGGGGGUUUGAUCAUCUAGAGCAUGAAUUGCAUAUUCCAUCUUCCAAUUUUCCAUUUUACCCUUGUGGGUUAGUUUCCCCAAUUCCACAAUUUAGAAUUUGAUCUAACUAGAAGUAUAGCAAUAUGGGUAUUGUUCUUCUUGAUUUCUAAUGUAGAACUUGGAUGUGUUUAUACUUCGAGUAUUUAGAAGCACAAAGAUAGGUCAAGGCUAAGAUUUGACGGUUCGUGGCUCCUAUUCGGCUAUCAUCGAUCAAAUUUUUCAGAAUUCCAGAUACUACAUCCGUACUUGUAUUAGGGGUAUUCGUGGAAUUGCCUAAAAGUUCUUUCUCCAUAUCUCGAUAUUUUCUCAGCAUCUUCUAUCGUUUUGCUUCAUCCGUCCGACUUUUUUUCUCUGCUGCUCAGUUUAUACAAUGAAUUGGUUAAGGUUGAUAUCAUUUGUGAUAUCAAGGGUGAUGCCGUGUUGGAAUGUAUUACCUUGAACGAUGACCGGGAAGAGAUGAUGUGUUGAACCAUGUUAUUCCUUUGGAGGCUUUAGGAGAAGCAAAGACUUGCAGCAUGAGACCAUAAUGCUAAAGGUUUAAGUCAGCCUACUUUGGAGCACCAGGUUAGAUCAUCCAUCAAACGGUCCUCCAAUGCAUAGAACACCAACAUACCCAACAUGUCUAGUGAAUGUAAAGAAUGCUAGCGCUCAAAGCUAGCCAUGAUAACAAUUAUGGAGCUAAUUAUCGAGAAACCAUAUAUGGUAUCUCUUAUUUGAAGAAAUAACUACCCUGCUUUGGUCAUGUGAAAUGUAUGUAUGGUCUUAUAUGCGUUAAGCUUGAGAAUACAUUUCGAAUAUUAUUCUAAAAUAUUUUGCUUUC